AUUGAACGCUGGCGGCAGGCUUAACACAUGCAAGUCGAGCGGGGUGAUGGUGCUUGCACUAUCACUUAGCGGCGGACGGGUGAGUAAUGCUUAGGAAUCUGCCUAUUAGUGGGGGACAACAUCUCGAAAGGGAUGCUAAUACCGCAUACGUCCUACGGGAGAAAGCAGGGGAUCACUUGUGACCUUGCGCUAAUAGAUGAGCCUAAGUCGGAUUAGCUAGUUGGUGGGGUAAAGGCCUACCAAGGCGACGAUCUGUAGCGGGUCUGAGAGGAUGAUCCGCCACAGUGGGACUGGGACACGGCCCAGACUCCUACGGGAGGCAGCAGUGGGGAAUAUUGGACAAUGGGGGGAACCCUGAUCCAGCCAUGCCGCGUGUGUGAAGAGGGCCUUAUGGUUGUAAAGCACUUUAAGCGAGGAGGAGGCUCUUUUGGUUAAUACCCAAGAUGAGUGGACGUUACUCGCAGAAUAAGCACCGGCUAACUCUGUGCCAGCCGCCCGCCGUAA
rnacentral:rRNA from 1 species